rnacentral:misc_RNA from 1 species
AAGUCGUAACAAGGUUUCCGUAGGUGAACCUGCGGAAGGAUCAUUAACGUAUCUCUGGCGGGUGCUGGCGUGCCCUGCUCCGGCCUGCAAAGGCCGUGCAGCGGGCCGCCCGUCCCGUCCAACCUUUGCAAACCCACGUGCACGUUUACGGUGGAGGGGGCCUCCCCUGAAGCCGCUUCACAAACCCUGAAACUCUAGAACGAUUGGUGACCUCUGAGUCGCCCUAAUUUGAAACAACUUUCAACAACGGAUCUCUUGGCUCUC